AUUGAACGCUGGCGGCAGGCUUAACACAUGCAAGUCGAACGCAUCCUUCGGGGUGAGUGGCAGACGGGUGAGUAACGCGUGGGAACGUGCCCUUCAGUUCGGGAUAACCCAGGGAAACUUGGGCUAAUACCGGAUACGUGCGCGAGCAGAAAGAUUUAUCGCUGAAGGAUCGGCCCGCGUCUGAUUAGCGGGUUGGUGGGGUAAUGGCCCACCAAGGCGACGAUCAGUAGCUGGUUUGAGAGGAUGAUCAGCCACAUUGGGACUGAGACACGGCCCAAACUCCUACGGGAGGCAGCAGUGGGGAAUAUUGGACAAUGGGCGCAAGCCUGAUCCAGCCAUGCCGCGUGAGUGAUGAAGGCCUUAGGGUUGUAAAGCUCUUUCGUCCGGGACGAUAAUGACGGUACCGGAAGAAGAAGCCCCGGCUAACUUCGUGCCAGCCGCCGCAGUAA
rnacentral:rRNA from 1 species